rnacentral:rRNA from 1 species
GACGAACGCUGGCGGCGUGCUUAACACAUGCAAGUCGAACGGAAGGGCCCUGCUUGCAGGGUGCUCGAGUGGCGAACGGGUGAGUAACACGUGGGUGAUCUGCCCCUUACUUUGGGAUAAGCCUGGGAAACUGGGUCUAAUACUGGAUAGGACCAUGCUGUAGGUGGUGUGGUGGAAAGAUUAGUUUCGGUAAGGGAUGAGCUCGCGGCCUAUCAGCUUGUUGGUGGGGUAAUGGCCUACCAAGGCGUCGACGGGUAGCCGGCCUGAGAGGGUGGACGGCCACAUUGGGACUGAGAUACGGCCCAGACUCCUACGGGAGGCAGCAGAGGGGAAUAUUGCACAAUGGGCGCAAGCCUGAUGCAGCGACGCCGCGUGGGGGAUGACGGCCUUCGGGUUGUAAACUCCUUUCAGCCAUGACGAAGCCCUUGUGGUGACGGUAGUGGUAGAAGAAGCACCGGCUAACUACGUG